rnacentral:rRNA from 1 species
GAUCAUGGCUCAGGAUGAACGCUAGCGACAGGCCUAACACAUGCAAGUCGAGGGGCACAUGGUAUCAGCUUGCUGAUACCGAUGGCGACCGGCGCACGGGUGAGUAACGCGUAUGUAAUCUACCUGUAACAGAGGGAUAACCCGGAGAAAUCCGGACUAAUACCUCAUAGCACAUAUUAUUCGCAUGAUUUUANGUUAAAGAGACUCGGUUACAGAUGAACAUGCG